rnacentral:lncRNA from 1 species
UCGUGGUUGUGUUGUUACAACCGGAAGGAAAGGUUUUGUGUUGUGUUGUCAAGUUUUAUAUUUCUGGGGUGUUUAGUUGUGUGCCAAGUUUCGUAUUUCUGGGGCGUUUAGUUGUGUUGUUAUAGUCACGAUGUGUUGUUGUGAGUUUUAUAUUUCUGGGGCGUUUAGUUGUGUUGUUAUAGUCACAAUGCGUUGUUGUGAGUUUUGUGGGUCCUGUGUGGUUUUGUGGUGUGGUUGUGUUGUUACAACUGGGAGGCAAGGCUUUUGCAUUGUGUUAUAGAAUGC